CGGGGGGUGGUGCAGUCUGGUAGCACGCCUGGUUUGGGACCAGGAAGUCGCCGGUUCGAAUCCGGCUCCCCCGA
rnacentral:tRNA from 1 species